rnacentral:rRNA from 1 species
GAUGAACGCUGGCGGCGUGCCUAAUACAUGCAAGUCGAGCGGUAAGGCCCUUCGGGGUACACGAGCGGCGGACGGCUGAGUAACACGUAGGAACGUACCCCAAACUGAGGGAUAAGCACCAGAAAUGGUGUCUAAUACCGCAUGUGGCCCACGGGCUAAAGCUCCGGCGGUUUGGGAACGGCCUGCGUCCGAUUAGCUAGUUGGUAGUGUAAUAGACUACCAAGGCGACGAUCGGUAGCUGGUCUGAGAGGAUGAUCAGCCAGACUGGGACUGAGACACGGCCCAGACUCCUACGGGUGGCAG